GAUGAACGCUGGCGGCGUGCCUAAUACAUGCAAGUCGAGCGAACGGACGAGAAGCUUGCUUCUCUGAUGUUAGCGGCGGACGGGUGAGUAACACGUGGAUAACCUACCUAUAAGACUGGGAUAACUUCGGGGAACCGGAGCUAAUACCGGAUGAUAUUUUGAACCGCAUGGUUCAAAAGUGAAAGACGGUCUUGCUGUCACUUAUAGAUGGAUCCGCGCUGCAUUAGCUAGUUGGUAAGGUAACGGCUUACCAAGGCAACGAUGCAUAGCCGACCUGAGAGGGUGAUCGGCCACACUGGAACUGAGACACGGUCCAGACUCCUAAGGGAGGCAGCAGUAGGGAAUCUUCCGCAAUGGGCGAAAGCCUGACGGAGCAACGCCGCGUGAGUGAUGAAGGUCUUCGGAUCGUAAAACUCUGUUAUUAGGGAAGAACAUAUGUGUAAGUAACUGUGCACAUCUUGACGGUACCUAAUCAGAAAGCCACGGCUAACUACGUG
rnacentral:rRNA from 1 species